rnacentral:rRNA from 1 species
ACUCAAAGGAAUAGACGGGGGCCCGCACAAGCAGCGGAGCAUGUGGUUUAAUUCGACGCAACGCGAAGAACCUUACCUGGGCUUGACAUGUCAGUGACCGCCGUGGAAACACGGUUUUCCUUCGGGACACUGUCACAGGUGGUGCAUGGCUGUCGUCAGCUCGUGUCGUGAGAUGUUGGGUUAAGUCCCGCAACGAGCGCAACCCCCGUCCUAUGUUGCCAUCAUUAAGUUGGGGACUCAUAGGAGACUGCCGGUGACAAACCGGAGGAAGGUGGGGAUGACGUCAAGUCAUCAUGCCACUUAUGUCCAGGGCUACACACGUGCUACAUUGGCGCAUACAAAGGGCAGCAAUACCGCGAGGUGGAGCAAAUCCCAGAAAGUGCGUCUCGGUUCGGAUUGGAGGCUGAAACUCGCCUCCAUGAAGGUGGAGUUGCUAGUAAUCGCAGAUCAGCAAUGCUGCGGUGAAUACGUUCCCGGGCCUUGCACACACCGCCCGU